rnacentral:rRNA from 1 species
AGCAGCCGCGGUAAUUCCAGCUCCAAUAGCGUAUAUUAAAGUUGUUGCAGUUAAAAAGCUCGUAGUUGAAUUUCGGGGUCAGUAGGUCGGUCGUGCCACUGGUAUGAACUGGUUUUACUGAUUCCUCCCUCUUGAAGAACUGUAAUGUCAUUAAUUUGGUGCUGUAGGGAAUCAGGACUGUUACUUUGAAAAAAUUAGAGUGUUUAAAGCAGGCUUUAGCUUGAAUACAUUAGCAUGGAAUAAUGAAAUAGGACGUUUGAUCCUAUUUUGUUGGUUUCUAGGAUUGACGUAAUGAUUAAUAGGGAUAGUUGGGGGCAUUAGUAUUCAAUUGUCAGAGGUAAAAUUCUUGGAUUUAUUGAAGACUAACUACUGCGAAAGCAUUUGCCAAGGAUGUUUUCAUUAAUCAAGAACGAAAGUUAGGGGAUCGAAGACGAUCAGAUACCGUCGUAGUCUUAACCAUAAACUAUGCCGACUAGGGAUCGAAAGGAUGUUAAUUUUUUAAUGACUCA